rnacentral:lncRNA from 1 species
AAUGAGCCAUUGAGCUCUUUGGGCCACAACGCCCCAGUAUGAUUUGUAAUUACAAGUCUACAUGAGUUAUUCAACUCACCCAGGCGGUUCGCUAAGCGAACUAGCGGCGCAAGAGCCAUCAAGUCAUUUGGGAGUCCACAAACUACCCGAUCGACUACUUAUUUACUACAAAUCUAUCUUAACAUGGCUCGUACUAAUGAGUCUUGCAACUCCAGGUUCCCAGGGCAUAGCGACAAAGUAGCCAAAGAAACAAGACAACAACAUCUCAUCAAUAAGG